GACUUUUUUUUGGAAAUACUAUGCAUCAUUUUCUACCUAACAUCAAUCAUUUGUUCUCUCUCUAUCUUCUAAUUUUCAGCUUUUCAGUUUUCAAGCUAAUAGUUUUCUGGAGAGUACUCAAAAGCAUAGAGGAACAAAGCAACUAUAUCAGAAUUUUCAUCAAGUCAUAAGAUAUUGAGAAUUUGAAAGAUAAGAACUUGAAAAGCACUUUUAGUCAUGGAGAGUGAAGGACAAAGAGAGAAAGGAGAAUAAAACAACUUUAUGAUUCAAAAGUGGUGGAGAAGAUGAUGAUAAACUUACUAGGAAGAUUUGAGUCCAAGAUUUCAGCAAUAGAGGAAUCUUGUGAUAAGAAGACUUUAUCUGUCGCAGAGAUGAUUAGCAAGUUGCAAGUCGAAGAACAAUGAAAAAGUAUAAGAGAUGAAGAAGUAGCAGAAGUGGCAUUUCAAGAAAAGCACAAAGGAAACCAACUUGUGAAGGACAAUAGGAGUAUGGAAGGAGAUAAACUAGCAAAGAGAAAGCCAUGGACAGAAUCUUGAUAGAAAGAAAAAUUUUCACCUUCAAUCCACUGCAAAAGAACCAAUUAUCAAGAAAAGGAUUGUCAGUUAAAAGGAAAGCCAUCAAUUCAAUGCAAAUUUUAUAGAAAAAUGGGUCAUAUUAAGAAGAAUUGCAAGGCCAAGCAGAAUCAACCACAACAACACAAUGUUCAGCAAGCAAAUUUCACUGAAGAUUCAACAAAGGAAGAAAGCUUGUUUAUGGAUACUCAUGAAGAAAACACAAUCAACCAAUCCAAAUAGUUCCUAGAUAGUGGGUGUACAAGUCAUAUGUCAUAUUAUGAGCUUAUGUUUCAUACACUUGCUAAGUCACUUAAAGCUAACGUUAGGAUGGGAAAUGGUGCAACAGUAGAAGCACAUGGAAAGGGUUCAGUUUACUUUCAAACUAAACAAGGUAUAAAGCUUAUACA